rnacentral:lncRNA from 1 species
GAAGAGAGGGAGUGGAAUGAGCAGAAGUAGGCACCUUAGCAUCAGAGGUCCUCUUCUAUGGGUGCCCUGGGGACUGAGGACUCCUCCAUCUUCCUACUGCUGCUUCCUCUGUGUUGUUAGAAGAGUCCUUUAUACUGCUGGACCUGAGAAGCAACCUGGUUUGAUGAGAAAACAGAGACCCCGACACUGAGGUCUGAAUCUGCCACUUGUGGACUGCAUGAUGCUGAGCAAGCCAGUGAGGUACCUCUGUCUUCUCAUCUGGAAACCAGGCAUCGCCAUGCCUAUUUCAGAAGGGUCCUGUGAGCUCCAUCCCUGUUGUUCCAAAUGGACCAGCGGAGACCAUUUCUAUGUCCAUUUGGAGUGUUGGGACUGAAUGGGGAUGCAAAAGAGGACUGCACUUUGAGAACCACUGCUCUGGGAGAUGGAUGCUGAGGUACAAGAGAUGUACUGUUGGAUAUUUUGUUUUGCUGCAGUAAAUGUAAGUAUUCGAAACAGCAGACUUGCAGGGCUAAGGAAGAACUCUACGAUGCACCUGCACUCUCUUAGUGAUGCAUCCCACUCCUGUCUAUUAAAUAUCUGCUCAGUGCCAGGCAAUGUGCAGGCAAUGAGUAUCCGAGAGAGAGGGACAGACAUCAUCCCCGACCUAAUGGAAAAUGCACGCCCGUCAUUUUAAAUCCACAGAAGCUCAGAUUCAAAAAACAACAGAGUCUUAGAUUUGCCUUUUCUGGGUCUCAUUUGGUUAAAUUCUGACAGCUGUCACACAAUCAGAAUCAUUAAAAUCUAGUUUUCUGUGCUUAACUUGCUUCCACCGAUUAACUUUCCCCAACUUAUUAUAGUGGUCCUGACCUUGGUCUAUUCAUAAAAGACCAUAGCAACCACUAACCGGAUGGGUUGCUUUUUAUAGGAGCAGCACAGUUUUAUCUACUAGAGGCAUUGGCAGAUUUGGAUUACAUUGUAAAUAAAUUUAUCCAAUGCAAACAUUCACCAAUCUGCAUUGCAUUGUAAAUACAUUUUCCCAAGUGAUUGUUAAGUGAUGGCCUUACAAUCAUGUUGGCAUAAGAAAAACAACCAGAGAGAGAUUCAGUAGCUUUGUAGUAAGUGUUGAUGAAGGAAAUGGGAUUUGUAAGGUGACAGUCAGCUUGGAUUAGAUGGAUGGAAGGAGAGGGCCAUUUGGUGAGUCAAGGAAUCAUCAAGGAAUUGAAUUUGUGAUAGACAUUAAGUGUUGGCCAUACCUAUGUAAAUAUCUAUGUUAGAUGUUAAGUAUUCAGCUUUUUGCCCGUUCCCUGAGCUACACAUAGUCCCAAGAAGGGGUAUUAUUUAUAUACAAGUCAUCUAUUUCUGGAUAAAACAACCACAGCAAUCUCUGUGUCAUAUGGCAGUAAAGAUUUAUUCCAAUGGAUUGGCUGAGGUUUUGCUGGUCUGAUCUAGGCUGGGGCAGUCAGAUCUCACUGCAGGUCUGAGAUAGAAUGGAGUGUCUCAGCUUCACAUGGUUCUCACUUUCUUGGACCAGCAAGACAUACAGGAAAUGUUCCUUUCAUGGAAAUGGCAGUGGCAUAAGAGAACAAAGGGCUCUUAAGACAUAUGCUUAGAAGUGCACACUGCCACCCCCAUCUCAUUUGAUUCACCAGUGCAAGCCAAACGGACAAGCCCAAGGUCAAAGUGGAGUAUAUUCACUCCACCUUUGAUGAAGCAAGAAUUAGAUCCAGGUAGAGGUGAAGAAUUAGGGCUCAAAGCAAAUCUACCAUAUUCAUAAGUAAGUUUUCAUUCAUCUAUUAUUGCAUAGGCUCAUGUUAUAUGCCAGACACUGUGUGGGGCAGCAGGAGAGAUGUCCAUGUCAUAUUCCUAUACCACUCACUAGUUAGGAACCUGAUAAAAAGAGUUCUUUCUCGCAUUAUCUUCUAUAUGUUGUGUACGACAGUCUGCUAAGAAGUCUCUCUUCCUCUAUUCUGGCCCUUAAUUCAACCCAUCUUCCAAUGUGGCUGGAAUGAUCUUCCUAAACUGUAAAUUAGAUAUUAAACCUCUGUUUAAGCAGUUUAAAUGAUUCCCUCUUGGCAGUAGGAUAAAGUUCAGUCUCCCUAAGGUUGAUGCUUAAGCUGGUUCUCAUCUGAACCCCUAAACUGCCCAGCCUUGCCUUCUGCCAUUCCUCUGGUUACCAGCCACUUCCACAAAUGCCUUUUUUUUCUUCACUUUCCCUUUGUUCUAGCUCAAUGAUUCCUGACUUGGGGACCAGAGAUGGGCAGAUUGGGACAGGAGGGCUGUGAAGUCAUUGCAAGAGAUCUUAUCUAAAUACACAGUAAGCGUUGCUUGUCAAGUGAAUAAAUAAUACCCCCUGACACAAACACAGGCACUGUCAUUUUGGACCUUCACCUAGAUGCGAUUGUAAAGAAUGAACUUCAAAUUCUGCUAGAAGGAAGGGUUGAAUUAUGAGCUUUCCUUUGCAGUUAUUUCUUUUCUCAU